ACCACUGUCACAGAGUCAAUACAGACUGGUCAAUACCAUCAGAACUAUACAAUCCCUCCUGUUGGUAUUCACUGUCAGUCUUGACAGACAGACUGGACAAUACCAUUUAAUCCCAAUCAAAUAAUUUAGCAAGCCUUUUUUGCACAAACAUACUCCUACACACACCCAUACACACUCCUUUAGGCAUUCCACGUUGUGAUUGAAAUAGUGGGAUUGUCAAAAUGUAUAUAGUUACGUCCUCACAUCUCUUCCUGCUUAAGCACACUUCGUACCAUAAUGAGUCUACAGGCUAUUGGCCCUGAAACCCUUCAGACAGACCAGACAGUAAAGACCAGUUCCCCUCAGACAGUAAAGACCAGUACCCCUCAGACAGACCAGACAGUAAAGACCAGUACCCCUCAGACAGUAAAGACCAGUACCCCUCAGACAGUAAAGACCAGUUCCCCUCAGACAGUAAAGACCAGUACCCCUCAGACAGUAAAGACCAGUUCCCCUCAGACAGUAAAGACCAGUUCCCCUCAGACAGUAAAGACCAGUACCCCUCAGACAGUAAGGACCAGUACCCCUCAGACAGUAAAGACCAGUACCUCUCAGACAGUAAAGACCAGUACCCCUCAGACAGUAAAGACCAGUACCCCUCAGACAGUAAAGACCAGUACCCCUCAGACAGUAAAGACCAGUACCCCUCAGACAGUAAAGACCAGUACCCCUCAGACAGUAAAGACCAGUACCCCCUCAGACAGUAAAGACCAGUACCCCUCAGACAGUAAAGACCAGUACCCCUCAGACAGUAAAGACCAGUACCCCUCAAACAGUAAAGACCAGUACCCCUCAGAUAGUAAAGACCAGUACCCCUCAGACAGUAAAGACCAGUACCCCUCAGAGAGACCACCAUUAGCACACAUUAGGCAAGUCAUUGUCCACACAAACUGCAUGCAGGACAAUCAUCAGUACCAGCUAAGACCCUGCCAUAUAGUGAUUUACACACAGUACCAGCUAAGACCCUGCCAUAUAGUGAUCUACACAGUACCAGCUAAGACCCUGCCAUAUAGUGAUCUACACGGUACCCAGCUAAGACCCUGCCAUAUAGUGAUCUACACAGUACCAGCUAAGACCCUGCCAUAUAGUGAUCUACACAGUACCAGCUAAGACCCUGCCAAAGAGUGAUCUACACAGUACCAGCUAAGACCCUGCCAUA
rnacentral:lncRNA from 1 species